CGACCGGCGCACGAGUGAGUAACACGUAUCCAACCUGCCGAUGACUCGGGGAUAGCCUUUCGAAAGAAAGAUUAAUACCCGAUGGCAUAGUUCUUCCGCAUGGUAGAACUAUUAAAGAAUUUCGGUCAUCGAUGGGGAUGCGUUCCAUUAGGUUGUUGGCGGGGUAACGGCCCACCAAGCCUUCGAUGGAUAGGGGUUCUGAGAGGAAGGUCCCCCACAUUGGAACUGAGACACGGUCCAA
rnacentral:rRNA from 1 species